UGAGAAGAAGUCGAAAAUGUGAAAAGUUUACAGACGGACAGACAGACAGACGCUGUUCUUACGAGAGGUACAUUGUGGGGUAAAAUUAACGUAUUUUCCAGCAGUGUGGGGUUUUUUGGGUACUGUGGGGUUAACCCCAUAAUGAAGAGGUCUAAUUACGUUCAAAAUUACUCUAUGAGGUCGAAAAACCUAAAAUUAGAUUUAACCUCACAAAGACUUUGUCCAAAUUUUGGACAUGUCCUUAGCCCAAAACGCUCAGACAUUCAGAAAUCUGCUGUUUAGAGGAGUUCGGUAAUUGAAUCGAGGAGUUCCGAAUACCUGAGCAUGCGCAUAUAUUUAAAACUAACUGCGCAUGCGCAGAAUACGGAAGUAGCUGUGUUUGGACACUUUGUAUUAGCAGUGAGGAAAUUCGGAAACACAAAAAGCAAAUGCAAGUUCAGAUACCACUGAAAGUGAACAUCAGUGGAACUUUGAUGAUCUAGGCCACUCUAUUGUUGCAGCAACACCAGCAGGCGUCGGACAUUCAUAAAGUUGAAAGAACAAACCUGUGACUUGAACACACAAUUUGUGAUCUGAAUAUAGUUCACAAAUUUAAGGAAAGCAACUAUUAAAGACAUCCAGAUCGGUGGUAUACAUGAAGUAUGAGUUAAAGACUUUUCAGAAGAACAAGCACAAUCCCGAUUCAUUUUUGCCAUUGCCUUCUCCAGACGGCGACAUUCAGGACCUGACUUACUUUUCAGAAAAAGAAGAAUCGAUUUUUGAAAGUUGAUCUAAAAAAGAUAACAUUUACAUGGGUCGUGGAUUUGAAUUACAUUUUCUUGAUGGGCAACUAGUUUCAAGUAUUUGGAUGUCUAUUCUCAAGUUACUGCAAACCUUAAAUUAACUUCUUGAUUAUUAGUUAAAUGUGAGACCGUGUCUUACUUGAAGUAAUCAUUUUUUGAAUUGAGCUAUGUAAUAUCUGAUUACUUAUGUUUAUGAGUAGUGCUCAGCUUUAAGACAAAAGGAUCUUUUAUGAACAUUGCAUUCGGCAUGGCAAAUUUCUAUACAUUAACAGUCAUAGUUUUCGUCUUUUUU